rnacentral:rRNA from 1 species
GACGAACGCUGGCGGCGUGCUUAACACAUGCAAGUCGAACGAAGAGCCAUGGAAGUUUGCUUCUGUCCAUCUUAGUGGCGAACGGGUGAGUAACGCGUAACCAACCUGUCCUUCAGAGGGGGACAACAGUUGGAAAGGACUGCUAAUACCGCAUACUAUCGAAUCUCGGCAUCGAGGAGAGAUGAACGGUGGCCGCGACAGGUAUGCUAUCACUGCAGGAGGGUAUUGCGUCUGAUUAGCUAGUUGGAGGGGUAGGGGCCCACCAAGGCGAGGAUCAGUAGCCCGACUGAGAGGAUGGACGGCCGGCUUGGGAGUGAGACACGGCCCAGACGCCCUCGGGAAGGAGCCAGGGGGGAACUUCAGGCAUGGGCGGAAGUCUGACGGAACAACGCCGCGUGGGUGAUGACGGCCGUCGGGUUGGAAAGCUCUGUUUAUCGGGAGGAAAGGCCUUCUUGCGAAGAGGGAGAAGGAUUGACGGUACCGGAGUAGAAAGCCACGGCUAACUACGUG